rnacentral:rRNA from 1 species
UACGUAGGGUGCAAGCGUUAUCCGGAAUUAUUGGGCGUAAAGAGCUCGUAGGCGGUUUGUCGCGUCUGCUGUGAAAACUGGAGGCUCAACCUCCAGCCUGCAGUGGGUACGGGCAGACUAGAGUGCGGUAGGGGAGAUUGGAAUUCCUGGUGUAGCGGUGGAAUGCGCAGAUAUCAGGAGGAACACCGAUGGACGAAGGCAGAUCUCUGGGCCGUAACU